rnacentral:rRNA from 1 species
AGCGGCGGACGGGUGAGUAAUACGUAGGAAUCUGCCUUCAGGAGGGGGAUAACGAGCCGAAAGGUUCGCUAAUACCCCAUAUGCGGUAACGUGAAAGGAGUAAUCCACCUGGAGAUGAGCCUGCGUCCGGUUAGCUAGUUGGUAGUGUAAUGGACUACCAAGGCAACGAUCGGUAGUUGGUCUGAGAGGAUGAUCAGCCACAAUGGGACUGAGACACGGCCCAUACUCCUACGGGAGGCAGCAGUGGGGAAUUUUACGCAAUGGGCGAAAGCCUGACGUAGCGACACCGCGUGAGCGAAGAAGCCCCUUGGGGUGUAAAGCUCUGUCAGCAGGAACGAAAAAAUGACGGUACCUGCAGAGGAAGCAUCGGCUAACUACGUGCCAGCAGCCGCGGUAAGACGUAGGAUGCAAGCGUUGUCCGGAUUUAUUGGGCGUAAAGAGUUCGUAGGCGGUUAGUUAAGUCUGGUGUUAAAGACUGGGGCCCAACCCUGGGAGUGCAUUGGAUACUGGCUGACUUGAGUGCGGUAGAGGUGAGUGGAAUUCCCAGUGUAGCGGUGAAAUGCGUAGAUAUUGGGAAGAACACCGGUGGCGUAGGCGACUCGCUGGACCGUAACUGACGCUGAGGAACGAAAGCUAGGGUAGCGAAUGGGAUUAGAUACCCCAGUAGUCCUAGCUGUAAACGAUGGAUACUAGGCGUU